AUAAUGGGUGCUCUUUAAUGAAAGUGAGGGAGUUCUUUUUAUAGAAUAAAGGCUCGCUCCUCAGUACAUAAAUAAUGGGCUAAGUCCCCCAAGUAUUUUUCAUGAGGCUCAGUUGAUGCCCAAUAUAUGGUACAUAAUGUAGUCCCCCAAGUCUUCAGUCAAUAGGGUUUAUUGGCUGGAGACUUCAAAUUGAAUCCGUGUAUGGGCCGAAGUGGCGGUUGUUCGGAGAUGGUAUUUGUAUACCCUGCACUGAAGCUUUGUAGGUGAAGCUUUGCAAGUGAAGUUUUGAAGCUGGAGCUUUUGUAAAUGAAACUUUUGAAGUUGGAGCUCUCGAAGCUGAAGCUUUGUAAAUGAAGCUUUUGAAGCUGAUUGACAUGAGUGACGCUCAUGAAUGUUUAUUUUGAUUGACAUGAGUGAUGCUCAUAGAUCUUGACAUGAGUGAUGCUCAUGAAUGUUGACAUGAAUGAUGGUCAUGAAUGUUUAUGUAUGAUUGACAUAAGUGAUGCUCAUGAAUGUUUAUGUACGAUUGACAUGAGUGAUGCUCAUGUAUAAUUUUGGAGUACUAGACGUACUUUUGAUCACCUAAUGGGUGAUAAUAGCAGUAGGCUGCUGAAUAAUUUUGGAGUACUGGACGUACUUUUGAUCACCUGGUUGGUGAUAAUAGCGACAGGCUGCCGAAUAAUUUUGGAGUAUUGGGCGUACUUUUGAUCACCUAGUUGGUGAUAAUAGCGGUCACUUGGUUGGUGAUAAUAACGGCAGGCUGCCGAAUAAUUUUUGGAGUACUGGACGUACUUUUGAUCACCUGGUUGGUGAUAAUAGCGGCAGGCUACCGAAUAAUUUUGGAGUAUUGGACGUACUUUUGAUCACCUGGUUGGUGAUAAUAGCAGCAGGCUGCCAAAUAAGUUUUGAGUACUGGACGUACUUUUGAUCACCUGGUUGGUGAUAAUAGAGGGUGAACUUUUAAGUGGAGGGAUGGAGGUUG
rnacentral:lncRNA from 1 species